rnacentral:misc_RNA from 1 species
CAGCCAACAUUGCCAUAAACUUCACAUUUCCUGGUUCUGCAAAUUUAUGUUAUCAAACGCUUUAUCGCCUUCAUGACGUUUUCGACACGGUUCCACUCCUCACUUUCCAACUGGCAUCGCUGCAAAACUUCGCCAACUGAGUCAUAAGAUCAGUUGAAUUUGUGCGUUGAGUGAGUUUCAACAAAGUUUUUCAGUGCCUUUUCCCGGUAGAAAUUUUCAACAAUGGCCGACGAAGUUGCUGAAAAUGGUCACGCAGAAAAUGGAGAUGUACCAGAAAUCGAGCUUAUCAUUAGGGCCUCGACAAUAGACGGUAGACGUAAAGGAGCCUGCCUAUUCUGUCAGGAAUACUUCAUGGAGUUGUACUUAUUGGCCGAACUGAAAACUAUUAGUCUGAAGGUGACGACAGUAGACAUGCAGAAACCUCCUCCUGAUUUCCGUACGAAUUUUGAAGCGACGCCCCCACCGAUCCUGAUAGACAGAGGGAUGGCCAUCUUGGAAAACGAGAAAAUCGAAAGACAUAUCAUGAAGAACGUGCCAGGAGGUCAUAAUUUAUUUGUACAGGACAAAGAAGUAGCAACAUUGAUUGAAAAUCUCUACACAAAGUUCAAAACGUACGUUAGAAAGUUUGAAUCGACUGACACCACAGAAAAUAGGCAACCUCUAUAUUCGCAUUUGGAGAGGAUCAACGACUUCAUGGCAAAGAGAGGCACGAGAUUUUUAACUGGUGACACUAUGUCCUGUUUUGACUGUGAAUUGAUGCCUAGACUGCAACACAUCCGCAUAGGAGCCAAAGCCUUCCGCAAAUUCGAGAUCCCCUCAACAUUCAAAGCUUUGUGGAACUACAUGGCGAACAUGUACGAACUCGAAGCCUUCAUCCAGAGCUGCCCGGCCGAUCAAGACAUCAUCAGUCAUAUCAAAAACCAAUUGGGCCUUAAGACAACCGCGCGGAUAGAACUGGAAACGCCUGUAUACACGACAGCCAUUCCGGUGCUAUCUGAAUCGUAAAUAAUAACUUAAAAUAAAGAAUUAUAGUCGGUUUCGUGAUAUUUUGAUAAUAUAAUAUGGGACGUCAUCCAGAAUACGUUCCGGUGAAGAUAGCCGCAAAUGAUGAAUGGCAUAAUAAAAUAUUGGUGUUUGGCAGUGUUGCCAAACACAAUUAUUUCGUUCUGUGGCCAUCAUUUGCAGCUAUCUUCACCGGAACGUAUUCUGGAAGAUGUCUCUACAUGUAUAGGCUUGCUUAAAUUGGACAAACUUGAUGUAUCAAAUAUAAAUCAUGUUUUUAAAUGACAUAUAUGUCUGAUAGAUAGUGCCUUGUAUUGCUUAUUCAAACUUAAUCCUUUUGGGUCACUAAAGGACUGAUUAUACACAGAAACAAAUAAAUUAGUACAUGUAAACUAACUACAUGACGAAACUAUUUAUUCAUAAUAUUUUUCCGAUAUUCUAUGUGUUGCUUGAUUAGAGUUAUAAUACAGUAAUCAAAUUUGAUGAUUUUGAUGUGCCAUCCAUACUUAGUAUUACUGGAGUUUUCAUUUUUUGACACAUGUCAAACGUCACGACUGUCAAACAUCAAUUUUUGACGCAUGUCAAACGUCACGACUGUCAAACAUCAAUUUUUGACAGCCAUUUUCAAAGAGUUUUCAAGGUCAACUUAAAAAUGUUGGAAAUUACUACUUUUGUACGUGAUCACUACUAUUUCUGCUGCUAUUAUACUAUCCUGUGCUUACAUGGCUUGAUUCUAAAUGUAACUGAACAAUAUUCGAACAAUUUUAUAUCUUAUAGCUGAAUUCUUUCGAGCCGCUGUUUCAAAUAUUACAAAACCGACAAACCGUUUAUUUUUAUAUGCAUUUUCGACUUCGACCUAGUCAGGGGAAGUAAUCAGUAAGUUUCUUCCAAUAAGAGUCAGCUACCACCAUAGCAGUUUUGUCAAAUUACAGAAAAAAGUUUAUAAGACCGCUUUUUUAUCAUUAUUAAUAAAUAUUAACAGAUUAUCGCACUUACUGUAGCAAGACAACAAGUGGAAACAACGGAAGAAAGAAUAUCUUUGGUUAGAAAGGCACUUGAUGAAUUCUAUACGUUCUACAGUAAUGAAAAAUAAUUAUCAUGGCGCAUAUUAUUGCAAGUGAAAAUGUUGUUUCUACGAUUUCCAGUAUUAGUUUUAUUAUCUUCAGUUAAGUUUUAAUUGUAGUUCAUUUUUUAAUAGAUGAAAAACGGUUCUGUAUGAAUAGGGCUUUUCAACGCUUCUCAUUUAUUUCGGGCACUUGUCAUAUGUCGUAUAUUAAUAUUAUACACAGAUUAUACAACAUACGACAAGUUAAGAUAUCUAUGUCAUACGUUUUUGGUUUGUAUCAUUGGUAUAUACGAAUAACGUAUGUUCCAUGGGUGUUCGGGAACGAUUAACUUAAAUUAAAAUAAGUGUAAAAACAACAACUUGUCAAUAAUAUAUUUAUUUGUGUCGGUAAAAUAGCGUGAAUAUUUCUCGAAAGAGAGUUUGUUAUUCUUUUGCGAGUAUGGUGGUGUGUCCGCGCCGGAUGGUUGCUGUGGCUAUACUGAAAGAAACCACAAACGCUAAUAUGUUUGUGUUUCUACCAUCUGGCCAGAAAGGUGAUAAAUUAUUUAGAUCUGGCGUUUAAAAGUUGAAACAUUUCUGCAGUUUUAAGAAACGUCUUCGAAUGCAUUUCCAAAGUGAGUUAUUGACAUAAGGUCUGAUAAGGUAAUUAAUUUAUGGGGAAUUCAGUUUGUUAAACUGAACACACCAAAAACAUAUUAUGGUUAGGGACACAUUUCGUUUUGUAAAACUUCUUAGCAUCUGGUUUGUAUAUUAAAUGUGAAUUUUAAAUGACCGUUUUAAGAAAAGUUAUUAAAAAAUAAAAUUAGCUAAAAGAGUAAUUAAAGCGUGUCUCCACAAUUGCAACGAAUGAACUCCAUUCUUGCAUUUUUUGAGAAAAGUAGAGCGAACCAUAUAACGACCAUAUGCGCAUGGCAAUAUGUCUUUUAUAGGAAUAAAAUCGACAAUUUUCAUAUUGUCUAAUUGAAAUCAGUUAUUGAUCUUGUUGCUAGUGAGACAAUUGUUAAGGUGGUUGCUGACUCUUGCUGAUUAUUAUAAAGCAUUUUUGACAACUUACAUAAAAAUAUGUAAAAAGCAUUUUUACAAUGUGAUGAGAAAAUAUUUAUAUACCAAUUGUUUCUUUGUAAAUAAAAGUUCUUAAUUUUUGAAUUUAAUUGAGUUUUUAAAUGUUAGGUUUGAGGAAAUUGAUAUAAAAAAUUUCUAAUACCCGCUUUCUUACAAUUUACAAAUGUGAAAUAUUUUGUUUAAUACGUUCUUUUUUUCUAUAUAGUUACAAUGAUGUACUGGAGUUAUUAUUUUUUAGAUAUUUAGGCGAACUUUGUAUUUUUACUAGGUCCCGUUGGAAGCUGGAUGCUUUCGACUGGAUUCAUUAAUAAUAAAGGUGUAAAAUAUA